UGAAUGCAAUAAUGUAAGUCGCUCUGGAUAAGAGCAUCAGCUAAAUUACUAAAA
rfam:Salmo salar isolate Sally breed double haploid chromosome ssa10, whole genome shotgun sequence.